GCAGAGCUUAAGGCUGCACAAGGGUCACAACAUGACCACUGAUACAGCACAGGUGGACGAGGUUAAAUGUGGCUGAUUCCUUAUCGAGAUUAUUGAAGAUGCUCCUCAGGCCUGCAUUGGGUGUGUGUGUGUGUGUGUGUGUGUGUGUGUGUGUGUGUGUGUGUGUGUGUGUGUGUG